GAGGGAGACACAGAAUCGGAAACAGGCUCCAGGCUCUGAGCCAUCAGCCCAGAGCCUGACGCGGGGCUCGAACUCACGGACCGCGAGAUCGUGACCUGAGCUGAAGUCAGACGCUUAACCCACUGAGCCACCCAGGCGCCCCGUCAGUGUAACUUUCAGCUCCACUCCCCACUCCAGAAAUAGGAGAAACUUGGCAGAAUCAGCGGAACGUGUGUGACCUUCACUGCAUUGUUGAAUGAUUGCCCAUCAGAAAAUACAAAGAGUAAAAGACUACUAGGCAAGGGGGAGCUGAAAGAGGCCAAUCC
rnacentral:lncRNA from 1 species